UAGGGAAUAUUAGUAAUGGGCGAAAGCCUGAACUAGCAACGCCGCGUGUGCGAAGAAGGCCUUCGGGUUGUAAAGCACUUUUUGAGAGGAUGAGGAAGGACGGUACUCUCAGAAUAAGUCUCGGCUAACUACGUGCCAGCAGCCGCGGUAACACGUAGGAGGCGAACGUUAUCCGGAUUUACUGGGCGUAAAGCGCGUGUAGGUGGUUUGGUAAGUAGGGCGUGAAAGCUCCUGGCUCAACUGGGAGAGGCCGUUCUAAACUGCCGAACUAGAGGAUGGUAGAGGGAGGUGGAAGUCCGGGUGUAGCGGUGGAAUACGCAGAUAUCCGGAGGAACACCAGUGGCGAAAGCGGCCUCCUGGACCAUUCCUGACACUCAGACGCGAAA
rnacentral:rRNA from 1 species